CUGUGAUAGUCACAAUGCACCACUGUGAUAUCACAAUGCACCACUGUGAUAGUCACAAUGCACCACUGUGACAUCACAAUGCACCACUGUGACAGUCACAAU
rnacentral:miRNA from 1 species